rnacentral:misc_RNA from 1 species
AAGUCGUAACAAGGUUUCCGUAGGUGAACCUGCGGAAGGAUCAUUAAAGGCUGGCCAUGCGCGUGGAGCGCGUGGAGCGCGUGGAGCGCGUGGAGCGCGUGGAGCGCGUGAAGCGGAGCAAAGCAAAGCGACGCAUGGCCAUAAAAGACAGUGGGGUGUGCUGCAAGUGUGGGUCAAGUGUCGAGCGAAAGCGAGACACUUGAGCGCGCAGCAGCGUUGGCGAGGGUUGGCUGUUGGUUGGCGUGGCGACGAUCUGGAUUUAACAAUCGCUUGAUUGUUUCUGUUGAUCUCGCCGUGGAAAAGACAUUUUCUUGCGGAUUCGCAUUUAAUGUAUUGGCAACUGUUAACAACGGAUCUCUAGGCUCCU